GAUGAACGCUGGCGGCGUGCCUAAUACAUGCAAGUCGAGCGAACGGACGAGAAGCUUGCUUCUCUGAUGUUAGCGGCGGACGGGUGAGUAACACGUGGAUAACCUACCUAUAAGACUGGGAUAACUUCGGGAAACCGGAGCUAAUACCGGAUAAUAUUUUGAACCGCAUGGUUCAAAAGUGAAAGACGGUCUUGCUGUCACUUAUAGAUGGAUCCGCGCUGCAUUAGCUAGUUGGUAAGGUAACGGCUUACCAAGGCAACGAUGCAUAGCCGACCUGAGAGGGUGAUCGGCCACACUGGAACUGAGACACGGUCCAGACUCCUACGGGAGGCAGCAGUAGGGAAUCUUCCGCAAUGGGCGAAAGCCUGACGGAGCAACGCCGCGUGAGUGAUGAAGGUCUUCGGAUCGUAAAACUCUGUUAUUAGGGAAGAACAUAUGUGUAAGUAACUGUGCACAUCUUGACGGUACCUAAUCAGAAAGCCACGGCUAACUACGUGCCAGCAGCCGCGGUAAUACGUAGGUGGCAAGCGUUAUCCGGAAUUAUUGGGCGUAAAGCGCGCGUAGGCGGUUUUUUAAGUCUGAUGUGAAAGCCCACGGCUCAACCGUGGAGGGUCAUUGGAAACUGGAAAACUUGAGUGCAGAAGAGGAAAGUGGAAUUCCAUGUGUAGCGGUGAAAUGCGCAGAGAUAUGGAGGAACACCAGUGGCGAAGGCGACUUUCUGGUCUGUAACUGACGCUGAUGUGCGAAAGCGUGGGGAUCAAACAGGAUUAGAUACCCUGGUAGUCCACGCCGUAAACGAUGAGUGCUAAGUGUUAGGGGGUUUCCGCCCCUUAGUGCUGCAGCUAACGCAUUAAGCACUCCGCCUGGGGAGUACGACCGCAAGGUUGAAACUCAAAGGAAUUGACGGGGACCCGCACAAGCGGUGGAGCAUGUGGUUUAAUUCGAAGCAACGCGAAGAACCUUACCAAAUCUUGACAUCCUUUGACAACUCUAGAGAUAGAGCCUUCCCCUUCGGGGGACAAAGUGACAGGUGGUGCAUGGUUGUCGUCAGCUCGUGUCGUGAGAUGUUGGGUUAAGUCCCGCAACGAGCGCAACCCUUAAGCUUAGUUGCCAUCAUUAAGUUGGGCACUCUAAGUUGACUGCCGGUGACAAACCGGAGGAAGGUGGGGAUGACGUCAAAUCAUCAUGCCCCUUAUGAUUUGGGCUACACACGUGCUACAAUGGACAAUACAAAGGGCAGCGAAACCGCGAGGUCAAGCAAAUCCCAUAAAGUUGUUCUCAGUUCGGAUUGUGGUCUGCAACUCGACUACAUGAAGCUGGAAUCGCUAGUAAUCGUAGAUCAGCAUGCUACGGUGAAUACGUUCCCGGGUCU
rnacentral:rRNA from 1 species